GAAGUUUUCGGAUGGAUCUUAGAUUGACUGAGCGGCGGACGGGUGAGUAACGCGUGGAUAACCUGCCUCACACAGGGGGAUAACAGUUAGAAAUGACUGCUAAUACCGCAUAAGCGCACAGUACCGCAUGGUAUAGUGUGAAAAACUCCGGUGGUGUGAGAUGGAUCCGCGUCUGAUUAGGUAGUUGGUGAGGUAACGGCCCACCAAGCCGACGAUCAGUAGCCGACCUGAGAGGGUGACCGGCCACAUUGGGACUGAGACACGGCCCAAACUCCUACGGGAGGCAGCAGUGGGGGAUAUUGCACAAUGGGCGAAAGCCUGAUGCAGCAACGCCGCGUGAGUGAAGAAGUAUCUCGGUAUGUAAAGCUCUAUCAGCAGGGAAGAAAAUGACGGUACCUGACUAAGAAGCCCCGGCUAACUACGUGCCAGCAGCCGCGGUAAUACGUAGGGGGCAAGCGUUAUCCGGAUUUACUGGGUGUAAAGGGAGCGCAGACGGCACUGCAAGUCUGAAGUGAAAGCCCGGGGCUCAACCCCGGGACUGCUUUGGAAACUGUAGAGCUAGAGUGCUGGAGAGGCAAGCGGAAUUCCUAGUGUAGCGGUGAAAUGCGUAGAUAUUAGGAAGAACA
rnacentral:rRNA from 1 species